GGCUCUGGGAGGUAGUGACGAUAAAUAACGAUGCGGGACUCAUCCGAGGCCUCGCAAUCGGAAUGAGAUCAGUCUAAAACUUUGGACGAGGAUCCAUUGGAGGGCAAGUCUGGUGCCAGCAGCCGCGGUAAUUCCAGCUCCAAUAGCGUAUAUUAAAGUUGUUGCGGUUAAAAAGCUCGUAGUUUGACUUUAGACUCGUACCGGGGGCCCACCCAAGGAGAGUACCUCGCGGAGACCUCUUUACGCGUUUGUGGCAUUCCGGUUGGUCGCUGACGGUAUAAGUUGACGGUGCGCGCUUGCAGCUAUCCCCUUGCCUCUGGGUUUCGACGAUGUUCGAUCGCUUAGUGUUUAAUUACACGGCUCAAGCAUCUCGCUUCCCAAGUAUGGGGUACUACUCGUGUCGAAUCUAGACCUCCGUUCACGCGCCUUUCGAAUUUGCCCCUUCGCUCGAGAUGCUUACGAGUUUCGCUUUCCCGGUGGCAACCCGCUCGGAUACGGGUUUUUAACAAAACCGUCGGUUCUCGCGGGGUGCUCUUUACCGAGUGUCUCGCGUGGCUGGCAACGUUCACUUUGAGAAAAUUAGAGUGCUCAAAGCAGGCAAAAAUCUAUGCCUGAAUGUAUAUGCUUAGGAUGAAGGAACAGGACCUCGGUUCUGCAAUUAUUUUUCUCUCGGUUUUUUCCGAACCCGAGGUAAUGAUUAACCGGGGCGGACGGGGGCAUUGGUAUUGCGGCGCGAGAGGUGAAAUUCUAAGACCGUCGCAAGACUACCUACUGCGAAAGCAUUUGCCAAGAACGCUUUCAUUAAUCAAGAACGAAAGUUAGAGGAUCGAAGGCGAUCAGAUACCGCCCUAGUUCUAACCUUAAACGAUGCCAACUAGCGAUCCGCCUAAGUCAUUCCCACGACUGGGCGGGCAGCCCCCGGGAAACCAAAGUUUUUGGGUUCCGGGGGAAGUAUGGUUGCAAAGCUGAAACUUAAAGGAAUUGACGGAAGGGCACCACCAGGAGUGGAGCCUGCGGCUUAAUUUGACUCAACACGGGAAAACUCACCAGGCCCGGACACCGGAAGGAUUGACAGAUU
rnacentral:rRNA from 1 species